CGUAGCGGUCUGCGCGGUGCGGCAGCGGGAAACUGGCAGUGCCUCAGGAUCCAUGCAAGCCGCCCGGGGAGGCCCCGAUCGCAAGAAAGGAAACCCCCACGGCAAGAAGUGGUGACCGGAACGCGUGAUCUAAAGAACGUGACACAAACCAGUACUCACGAUUUAACUUCUGGAGAGGUGUUGGUACCCUGACUCGGAUCGCUAAGGUGCUAAGGUUGCUCAUCGAUAUGGGGGAACAUCUUCCAUUCCACCUGAGUUCCUGCUGGGAUACAUCUUAAUUGGAGUAGAUAUAAACUAGGUGACAUAAGGAAAAAAAGAUUAAUAUUUUGUAACAUAUAUGGCCCCAAUAUAAAUUAGGAAACAGAGGAAAAUGAGGAAAUGUAAGCCUAAGUUAUAUCGUUUUACAACUAGAUUUAUUCUGCAGAAGACAGGGAAAAUGGUCUGAAAUCCCCUACAUGCAGGCCUUUAUGAUUCUAUACCAAAAAUCUUGCUCUCUAUAGUCCCCGCACCCAGAAACCAGGGGCAAGGGAGAGCCCUCCUGAUAUUCUGGAUGCUUCCCUUCUCAACAACCCACUGUCUGUCAGGGGGGACCUCAGAUACCCCCCCCCAAUCUGGAGGCAGGGCCCCCCUUCCCUCAUCUAUUCCUGACAGUCCCAAUUCAGAACCAGGGCCAAUAAAUAGGCCCUCUGCCUUAUACUCCCAUUUAUCUAAGCCUUUCUGGAAACGUAGAAGUCAGCCCUGCAGGAGUCACCCAUAGUGAGACUUCCUAUCAUCCUGCACCCCAAAAAAUACUACCCUUGUGGGAGGUAGCUGAUGGAAAAGGGAUUAUUUGAGUCCACGUCCGUCUCUUGAGGGACUUAGUUCAAUGUAAGGAAAGGCUUGGAUAGUCCUCUGCAGACUCCUCCUGAUUCAGUGAUAAUUUGCAAGCACAGACUUUUUGGCCUUUGACCUAACUCGGAGAGAGAUUUAUAUUGUAAUUACUACUUGCUGCACUCCCGAAGAAACACAAUCUGGGAGGCAGCUCAACAGCAUGGAGAUCAAAUGUCAGUUGAUCAACCGGACACCUAUGUUGGAGGAGCCCAAGCGGUCCCUAACCAGGACCCAAAUUAUAGAAUUGGGAAAUCAGAGAAGGGACCAUAUGGUUUUGUGCCUCUUAGGAGGAAUGAGAAAAUGCAUUAAAAAGCCUAUUAACUAUGAAAAGUUAAAAGGAAUAACUCAGGAAAGAUGAAAACCUAGCCCUUUUCCACGGGUGACUUAUAGAGGCCUAUAGAAAAUAUACCAACCUAGAUCCUUCUAUCCCUGAGGGCCAGUCUUUUAAUGGGCCAACAUUUUAUUAAUCGGUCAGCCCCUGAUUGUCAGGAAAAACUCCAGAAGUUUUAGGAUCUCAAACGCCAAUGGCAUAACUACUGGACAUCGCCUUCUUUAAAAACUGUGACCAAAAUUAAGAGGAAAAGCUCCAGCAUGAGAAAAGACAGAAUAGGGCCCAGGCUAAAUUAAUAGCCCUGGCUGUCAGCAGUACAGUUGGAAAUAUCCUGCCACCUCAGGGCCACUCAGAGGGACCAAGAAGACCCCACACUACAGGUAAUCAAGGUAAUGGAACCUGCUUCAAAUGCAAGCUGCCCCCAGGGCCAUGUCCUCUCUACAAAGAUACAGGCCAUUGGAAUGAAGACUGCCCCCAGUCUGAGUAUGGAAGCAAUCUGCCUCAACAAUGGCUACACUAGAGGAUUGAAGAGGCCUGGGGAUACCAAUGGCCCUAAAACCCACCAAUGACCUCAUCACCACCAAAGAACCCUGGGUGACCCUAGACAUGGCAGAAGGAUUCGAAGGAGCACACUUGAAGAUUUGGCGAGGAUCUUCUACCUUCCCUGAAAAGCCGCCCUCAGGCCCAAAUACCUACCGACCACGGUGGGCUCCAGGUCCACAAACACUGCUCUGGGCACAUGCUUGCCAGCCCCAGUCUCGCUGAAGAAUGUAUGGAAUGAGUCGUCCCCACCGCCGAUGGUUUUGUCACUUGGCAUUUGCCCAUCAGGCUGAAUUCCAUGUUCAAGGCAGUACAAUUCCCAGCAGGCAUUGCCGAUCUGGACGCCGGCCUGUCCCACGUGGAUAGAAAUGCACUCUCGCUGGGAACCAGAACAUAAAUGUGAGACUCAGUUCAUCUUCAAGGUAACUGUCACUAUAUGGCAUGCAAGUGAGACCUGACACUAUAAAUUAAUGACAAGGAUACGUUGAGAAAUGCAUCAUUAGCUGAUUUCGUCAUUGUGUGAGCAUCACAGAGUGCACUCAUACAAACCUAGAUGGUCUAGCUUACUACACAUCUAGGCUGUAUGAUACAGGUAUGCCUCUGCAGGUAAUUGUAACACAAUGGAACAUAUUUGUGUAGCCUAGAAAAGGUACAGUGAAAAUACAGUAUAAAAGAUAAAAAACUGUACAUGCGUACAGGGCACUUACCCUGAACGGAGCUUACAGGACUGGAAGUUGCUCUGAGUAAGUCGGUGAGCGAGUGUGAAGGCCUAGGACAUGACUGUGCACUACUAUAGGCUUUAUAAACACUGUCCCACAGGCCCUCCCCCUGCUUCCUUCUGACAGAGUCAGAAAAACAAUGAAGCUGUCAAUGCUCCUCUAUGUUCAAGGAUUGUGGGGAAGAGUGAUCAGAAAUAUUUGGGAGAAACUGGCUGGGUAAGGCAUAGAUUACCACAAUAGUGACUGUCAGGAGAGAGUGAAAAGUGGCCUGAGGAUCAGGGAAUAAGAAAUUAAGAUGGAGAGAUAAUACCAGUAAUAAGGUAUUAUUGCAUGUUUGGAGCUGUGAUUAGAUUAAGGAACUUGGCAGUAUUCAUUUAAAAAAAAAUGUUUAAUAUGGGGAGGAGGUAGAAAUGAGGAUUCAAUAUUUUGAAUUUGGAAAUUUAUUCUUUGUUCCACUGACCCUAUCUGGCAUAAAAAGCUCCCUCUGGCAUUGAAUUGAUGGAAAAAAUAAAACUUAUCUGUGCUUUACAUGAUUACAAUCUGAAAACAUUUCCAAAGUACAGAUACACUACCACAGAAAACUUUUAUUAAAGUGGCAAUGGCACUUCUUAAGAUAGCUCCUAUGAACCUGUAUCUGCACAGGAUCUUAGGUGGAUAGAAAUGCACUCUUGCUAGGAAACAAUAUAAUUAUGAGACCUACUCGUCUUUAGGUAAUGAUCACUAUAUGGCACACAAAAUAUAAUUUAAUAUAUGUACGUGUUUCAGAAUGCUAAGGCUUUCUCAAACCUUAUUUCCCACAAGGUUUAUGUGACCCUCUUAGCUACCAGGUAUCAAAGUUAGUCUUGGUACCUAAGUGUUUCCUGCUAUACAAAAAUUACGUUAUUUUAAAACUUGGAAGCUGUAGGUCAAUAGCAAAACUCCAUGUUACAGCUAGUCAUAGCAAUUCUAUAAAUAGCAGUUUUUGAUUGUGUCCUGAUUAAAGGAUGAGAUAAAGAA